ACGCUGGCGGCGUGCUUAACACAUGCAAGUCGAACGGAAAGGCUCCUGCUUGCAGGGGUACUCGAGUGGCGAACGGGUGAGUAACACGUGGGUGAUCUGCCCUGCACUUCGGGAUAAGCCUGGGAAACUGGGUCUAAUACCGGAUAGGACGAUGGUUUGGAUGCCAUUGUGGAAAGUUUUUCGGUGUGGGAUGAGCUCGCGGCCUAUCAGCUUGUUGGUGGGGUAAUGGCCUACCAAGGCGUCGACGGGUAGCCGGCCUGAGAGGGUGUACGGCCACAUUGGGACUGAGAUACGGCCCAGACUCCUACGGGAGGCAGCAGUGGGGAAUAUUGCACAAUGGGCGCAAGCCUGAUGCAGCGACGCCGCGUGGGGGAUGACGGCCUUCGGGUUGUAAACUCCUCUCGCUAGGGACGAAGCGCAAGUGACGGUACCUGGAGAAGAAGCACCGGCUAACUACGUGCCAGCAGCCGCGGUAAUACGUAGGGUGCGAGCGUUGUCCGGAAUUACUGGGCGUAAAGAGCUCGUAGGUGGUUUGUCGCGUCGUUUGUGUAAGCCCGCAGCUUAACUGCGGGACUGCAGGCGAUACGGGCAUAACUUGAGUGCUGUAGGGGAGACUGGAAUUCCUGGUGUAGCGGUGGAAUGCGCAGAUAUCAGGAGGAACACCGAUGGCGAAGGCAGGUCUCUGGGCAGUAACUGACGCUGAGGAGCGAAAGCAUGGGUAGCGAACAGGAUUAGAUACCCUGGUAGUCCAUGCCGUAAACGGUGGGCGCUAGGUGUGAGUCCCUUCCACGGGGUUCGUGCCGUAGCUAACGCAUUAAGCGCCCCGCCUGGGGAGUACGGCCGCAAGGCUAAAACUCAAAGGAAUUGACGGGGGCCCGCACAAGCGGCGGGGCAUGUGGAUUAAUUCGAUGCAACGCGAAGAACCUUACCUGGGCUUGACAUACACCAGACCGGGCCAGAGAUGGUCUUUCCCUUUGUGGUUGGUGUACAGGUGGUGCAUGGUUGUCGUCAGCUCGUGUCGUGAGAUGUUGGGUUAAGUCCCGCAACGAGCGCAACCCUUGUCUUAUGUUGCCAGCACGUUAUGGUGGGGACUCGUGAGAGACUGCCGGGGUUAACUCGGAGGAAGGUGGGGAUGACGUCAAAUCAUCAUGCCCCUUAUGUCCAGGGCUUCACACAUGCUACAAUGGUCGGUACAACGCGUCUGCGAGCCUGUGAGGGUGAGCUAAUCGCUGUAAAGCCGGUCGUAGUUCGGAUUGGGGUCUGCAACUCGACCCCAUGAAGUCGGAGUCGCUAGUAAUCGCAGAUCAGCAACGCUGCGGUGAAUACGCUCCCGGGCCU
rnacentral:rRNA from 1 species